AAUCUUUCGCAAUGGGCGAAAGGCUGACGCAGCCAUGCCUCGUGAAUGAUGAAGGUCUGAGGAUUGUAAAAUUCUUUCACCGGGGACGAUAAUGACGGUACCCGGAGAAUAAGCCUCGGCUAACUUCGUGCCAGCAGCCGCAGUAAUACGAAGGGGGCUAGCGUUUCUCGGAAUUACUGGGCGUAAAGGGCGCGUAGGCGGAUCGUUAAGUCAGAGGUGAAAUCCCAGGGCUCAACCCUGGAACUGCCUUUGAUACUGGCGAUCUUGAGUAUGAGAGAGGUAUGUGGAACUCCGAGUGUAGAGGUGAAAUUCGUAGAUAUUCGGAAGAACACCAGUGGCGAAGGCGACAUACUGGCUCAUUACUGACGCUGAGGCGCGAAAGCGUGGGGAGCAAACAG
rnacentral:rRNA from 1 species